CGCUCUUCUCACCGAGUCCGGACUCCGGUCCGGAGGAGCGUGGAGUUGACCGUCCGGGAAAGCCGGCCCUUCGCGGGGCCGAGCGGUCGUGGUCGGUUUAAAUGCAGCGUCGGAGACGUGUGGCCCGAGCGGGAUGCGCGUGAAGGUGAUCCGGGCUCCCUGUCGUGGGGGGUCGGGAGGCAAUUACUGCGAUUGCGCGUCCGGUUCGGGCCUCUUUGNGCCUCGACGGAAAAAAACAGGAAAAAGUGCGAGGGGGUCGGGGGGCGUGCGAGGGCGGUGGAGGCCGGCGGCCGGGGGGUCCCCUUCUGCGAGGAGGGGGGUCCUUCGGCCUCCGGCGCCGCCGCGCCGCCGUCGUCUGGCCCGUUCAGCGCACCGCA
rnacentral:misc_RNA from 1 species